GCCCUGAGCAGGAGGGAGGACACUGCAACGGGAGGCAGUUGAGGAGUUCGGUAGAGCAGAUUGCAGAGUGCCACUACAGGACCAGCUCAGCUGUGCUAACCCUGUCUGCAGUCACAUGACAAGCCAAAAGGUCGGAGGAGUCAGGCUAUGGGGCAGGCGGAGGAGGAGCAGCAUGAAGGUCCAUCAUUUCCAGGCAUGGCCCAUCCGGGAUUACCUGUACUGUCUGGAGGAAUACGGGAUGGGUGAUAACCCUACUUGUGUGUUUUUACACCAUGCAUGCUCUUAAGCUGAAUGUGUACAGAUCUAUCAACUGGAGGUCGAAUCACUGAGAUUCAUACGGUAACCUGUGCAUGGACAUCAAAGGGAUAAUCAGGACAGCGGACUUCCAUCACUUGCAAACCCGGGUCAAACUACCAGAAUACCUGAUGUUUGCUGGAACCUAUGCAGAAGUUGGACCACAAUCCAAUGACUACCAGACAAUGUGUCACCUUCAAAAAAACUGUAGAUUCUGUGGCGAGAUCUUAUUAGAUGCAGAUACAUCUACUUGCAAGCAAUGCAGAGUGAUCGUCAUCUCCCUACGCGUCGCUAACUCCGAUGGUUUUCAACCAAACAAUGAGAUGGAAGGAUCAUGUGCUCACUCUAAAAUGGGGGAUAGGUGUUCACUCUCCAAGAGGGGUCACCUUACACAUAGGAAUUUAUAUGUAUACGCACCUGUUUUAGGCUAGCAAGGUCAUGAAACACUUUAAUUAGUUGUGUUAUGAAUAAAAGACGAGAGUGAUAAA